rnacentral:rRNA from 1 species
GGAAGAGAAAGAAAAUUCGAUUCCCUUAGUAGCGGCGAGCGAAACGGGAAGAGCCCAAACCAACAAGCUUGCUUGUUGGGGUUGUAGGACACUCUGUACGGAGUUACAAAGGACGACAUUAGACGAAUCAUCUGGAAAGAUGAAUCAAAGAAGGUAAUAAUCCUGUAGUCGAAAAUGUUGUCUCUCUUGAGUGGAUCCUGAGUACGACGGAGCACGUGAAAUUCCGUCGGAAUCUGGGAGGACCAUCUCCUAAGGCUAAAUACUCUCUAGUGACCGAUAGUGAACCAGUACCGUGAGGGAAAGGUGAAAAGCACCCCGGAAGGGGAGUGAAAUAGAACCUGAAACCGUGUGCUUACAAGUAGUCAGAGCCCGUUAAUGGGUGAUGGCGUGCCUUUUGUAGAAUGAACCGGCGAGUUACGAUUUGAUGCAAGGUUAAGCAGUAAAUGUGGAGCCGUAGCGAAAGCGAGUCUGAAUAGGGCGUUUAGUAUUUGGUCGUAGACCCGAAACCAGGUGAUCUACCCUUGGUCAGGUUGAAGUUCAGGUAACACUGAAUGGAGGACCGAACCGACUUACGUUGAAAAGUGAGCGGAUGAACUGAGGGUAGCGGAGAAAUUCCAAUCGAACCUGGAGAUAGCUGGUUCUCUCCGAAAUAGCUUUAGGGCUAGCCUCAAGUGAUGAUUAUUGGAGGUAGAGCACUGUUUGGACGAGGGGCCCCUCUCGGGUUACCGAAUUCAGACAAACUCCGAAUGCCAAUUAAUUUAACUUGGGAGUCAGAACAUGGGUGAUAAGGUCCGUGUUCGAAAGGGAAACAGCCCAGACCACCAGCUAAGGUCCCAAAAUAUAUGUUAAGUGGAAAAGGAUGUGGCGUUGCCCAGACAACUAGGAUGUUGGCUUAGAAGCAGCCAUCAUUUAAAGAGUGCGUAAUAGCUCACUAGUCGAGUGACACUGCGCCGAAAAUGUACCGGGGCUAAACAUAUUACCGAAGCUGUGGAUUGUCCUUUGGACAAUGGUAGGAGAGCGUUCUAAGGGCGUUGAAGCAUGAUCGUAAGGACAUGUGGAGCGCUUAGAAGUGAGAAUGCCGGUGUGAGUAGCGAAAGACGGGUGAGAAUCCCGUCCACCGAUUGACUAAGGUUUCCAGAGGAAGGCUCGUCCGCUCUGGGUUAGUCGGGUCCUAAGCUGAGGCCGACAGGCGUAGGCGAUGGAUAACAGGUUGAUAUUCCUGUACCACCUAUAAUCGUUUUAAUCGAUGGGGGGACGCAGUAGGAUAGGCGAAGCGUGCGAUUGGAUUGCACGUCUAAGCAGUAAGGCUGAGUAUUAGGCAAAUCCGGUACUCGUUAAGGCUGAGCUGUGAUGGGGAGAAGACAUUGAGUCUUCGAGUCGUUGAUUUCACACUGCCGAGAAAAGCCUCUAGAUAGAAAAUAGGUGCCCGUACCGCAAACCGACACAGGUAGUCAAGAUGAGAAUUCUAAGGUGAGCGAGCGAACUCUCGUUAAGGAACUCGGCAAAAUGACCCCGUAACUUCGGGAGAAGGGGUGCUCUUUAGGGUUAACGCCCAGAAGAGCCGCAGUGAAUAGGCCCAAGCGACUGUUUAUCAAAAACACAGGUCUCUGCUAAACCGUAAGGUGAUGUAUAGGGGCUGACGCCUGCCCGGUGCUGGAAGGUUAAGAGGAGUGGUUAGCUUCUGCGAAGCUACGAAUCGAAGCCCCAGUAAACGGCGGCCGUAACUAUAACGGUCCUAAGGUAGCGAAAUUCCUUGUCGGGUAAGUUCCGACCCGCACGAAAGGCGUAACGAUUUGGGCACUGUCUCAACGAGAGACUCGGUGAAAUCAUAGUACCUGUGAAGAUGCAGGUUACCCGCGACAGGACGGAAAGACCCCGUGGAGCUUUACUGUAGCCUGAUAUUGAAAUUCGGCACAGCUUGUACAGGAUAGGUAGGAGCCUUUGAAACGUGAGCGCUAGCUUACGUGGAGGCGCUGGUGGGAUACUACCCUAGCUGUGUUGGCUUUCUAACCCGCACCACUUAUCGUGGUGGGAGACAGUGUCAAGCGGGCAGUUUGACUGGGGCGGUCGCCUCCUAAAAGGUAACGGAGGCGCUCAAAGGUUCCCUCAGAAUGGUUGGAAAUCAUUCAUAGAGUGUAAAGGCAUAAGGGAGCUUGACUGCGAGACCUACAAGUCGAGCAGGGUCGAAAGACGGACUUAGUGAUCCGGUGGUUCCGCAUGGAAGGGCCAUCGCUCAACGGAUAAAAGCUACCCCGGGGAUAACAGGCUUAUCUCCCCCAAGAGUUCACAUCGACGGGGAGGUUUGGCACCUCGAUGUCGGCUCAUCGCAUCCUGGGGCUGUAGUCGGUCCCAAGGGUUGGGCUGUUCGCCCAUUAAAGCGGUACGCGAGCUGGGUUCAGAACGUCGUGAGACAGUUCGGUCCCUAUCCGUCGUGGGCGUAGGAAAUUUGAGAGGAGCUGUCCUUAGUACGAGAGGACCGGGAUGGACAUACCUCUGGUGUACCAGUUGUCGUGCCAACGGCAUAGCUGGGUAGCUAUGUGUGGACGGGAUAAGUGCUGAAAGCAUCUAAGCAUGAAGCCCCCCUCAAGAUGAGAUUUCCCAACUUCGGUUAUAAGAUCCCUCAAAGAUGAUGAGGUUAAUAGGUUCGAGGUGGAAGCAUGGUGACAUGUGGAGCUGACGAAUACUAAUCGAUCGAAGACUUAAUCAA